UGGGGGAAUAUUGCACAAUGGGCGCAAGCCUGAUGCAGCAACGCCGCGUGAGGGACGACGGCCUUCGGGUUGUAAACCUCUUUUAGUAGGGAAGAAGCGAAAGUGACGGUACCUGCAGAAAAAGCACCGGCUAACUACGUGCCAGCAGCCGCGGUAAUACGUAGGGUGCAAGCGUUGUCCGGAAUUAUUGGGGCGUAAAGAGCUCGUAGGCGGUUUGUCGCGUCUGCUGUGAAAACCCGAGGCUCAACCUCGGGCCUGCAGUGGGUACGGGCAGACUAGAGUGCGGUAGGGGAGAAUGGAAUUCCUGGGUGUAGCGGUGGAAUGCGCAGAUAUCAGGAGGAACACCGAUGGCGAAGGCAGUUCUUUGGGCCGUAACUGACGCUGAGGAGCGAAAGCGUGGGGAGCGAACAGGAUUAGAUACCCUGGUAGUCCACGCCGUAAACGUUGGGCGCUAGAUGUGGGGACCAUUCCACGGUUUCCGUGUCGCAGCUAACGCAUUAAGCGCCCCGCCUGGGGGAGUACGGCCGCAAGGCUAAAACU
rnacentral:rRNA from 1 species